rnacentral:rRNA from 1 species
ACGAACGCUGGCGGCGUGCCUAAUACAUGCAAGUAGAACGCACAGUUUAUACCGUAGCUUGCUACACCCUAGACUGUGAGUUGCGGACGGGUGAGUAACGCGUAGGUAACCUGCCUGGUAGCGGGGGAUAACUAUUGGAAACGAUAGCUAAUACCGCAUAAUAUUAAUUAUUGCAUGAUAAUUAAUUGAAAGGUGCAAUUGCACCACUACCAGAUGGACCUGCGUUGUAUUAGCUAGUAGGUGAGGUAACGGCUCACCUAGGCGACGAUACAUAGCCGACCUGAGAGGGUGAUCGGCCACACUGGGACUGAGACACGGCCCAGACUCCUACGGGAGGCAGCAGUAGGGAAUCUUCGGCAAUGGACGAAAGUCUGACCGAGCAACGCCGCGUGAGUGAAGAAGGUUUUCGGAUCGUAAAGCUCUGUUGUAAGAGAAGAACGGGUGUGAGAGUGGAAAGUUCACACUGUGACGGUAUCUUACCAGAAAGGGACGGCUAACUACGUG